GACGAACUGUGCAAACGUUAUUCGGAAUCACUGGGCUUGAAGAGUGCGUAGGCGGUUUCGUAAGUAGGGUGUGAAAGCCCCCAGCUCAACUGGGGAACUGCGUCCUAAACUGCGAGGCUGGAGUGAGGUAGGGGUGUGUGGAACUUCCGGUGGAGCGGUGAAAUGUGUUGAUAUCGGAAGGAACGCCGGUGGCGAAGGCGGCAUCCUGGACCAAUACUGACACUGAGGAGCGAAAGCCAGGGGAGCAAACGGG
rnacentral:rRNA from 1 species